CGAACGGGUGAGUAACGCGUGAGGAACCUGCCUCAAAGAGGGGGACAACAGUUGGAAACGACUGCUAAUACCGCAUAAGCCCACGGCUCGGCAUCGAGCAGAGGGAAAAGGAGCAAUCCGCUUUGAGAUGGCCUCGCGUCCGAUUAGCUAGUUGGUGAGGUACGGCCCACCAAGGCGACGAUCGGUGGCCGGACUGAGAGGUUGAACGGCCACAUUGGGACUGAGACACGGCCCAG
rnacentral:rRNA from 1 species